UAUUUUCUCUAUAAUUAAUAUACUGAUUUCUCGAAAACUUGUACCGUGUUUAUCUUACAAUUAGUGUAAAUUGUUGAAAAAUAGUUUUUCUUAGCUGUUUCGAUGCUCCGAACCAAAAUUUAUUGACUAAAUGACAAAAUGACUAAAUGACUGAAAAAUAGCCUUUGAAGUACACCCUCUGUCAAUCUACCUGCGAGAGAGAACGUGUGAAAUAUGGACGUCAAAAGCUGCGCAAAUUGCCCGGAGAACAUGCAAGUCGGACGAAAUUUGCUUGAGGCUGACUCCGAACAAUCUGCAAAAUUCAAAAGCCGUAUUGUUUGUGUCGUCCCCGGAUGUAAGCAGAGAUAUCGCCCCGGAAUUUCUUUUCAUGCCUUCCCUCCGAAAACGGACAAAUCGCGCCUCCAUUUCACCGUGUCGAACUUCUACUCUCCAAGUAUUCACAUUCACAUUUUCG